rnacentral:rRNA from 1 species
CUUCCGUAGGUGAACCUGCGGAAGGAUCAUUAUCGAGUUGCUCUGACUCUGGUGUGCUAGCUUGACCUUCCUAGGCAUGUGCUCUGCCUGCUCGUCCACUCUGCACCUGUGACACUUACUGUGGGCUUCGAAGAUGGUAAAAUGGGUCUGUUUAUCGGUUUUGUCUUGCGGAGCGUGUCUGUGCCUUCGCGUAUUAUCACAAACUCUACUAAAGUAUUAGAAUGUGUCUUGCUUUGUACACGGAUCUAUGUGCAACUUUCAGCAACGGGUUUCUUGGCUCUCGCAUCGAUGACGAACUCAUGGAAUAUCUGAACGCACUUAGUAAUGUGAAUUGUACAGAAUUCACUGAGAAUCAUUGAAUCUUUGAUCGCACCUUGCGCUCCUUGGUAUUCCGAGGAGCAUGCCUGUUUGAGUGCUCCUGAAAUCUUCAUCAUCCUGGAAGCUUUUGUGGUUUGCUAGGCUUGGACUUGGAGGCUUGUCGUACGACCGUUGUUGGUCGUCUCCAUUUUAAAUGCCUUAGCUUGGUUCCUUGCGGAUCGGCUCUCAGUGUGAUAAUGUCUACUCUGGGCCCGAUGAAGCGUUUGGCUUGCUUCUAACCGUCUCAGUUGGAGAAACAACUUUGUGACCUCUGACCUCAGAUCAGGUAGGACGUUCGCCGCUGAACUUAAUAUAUCAAUAAGCGGAGGAA